AUUGUACGCUGGCGGCAGGCCUAACACAUGCAAGUCGAGCGGAUGACGGGAGCUUGCUCCUUGAUUCAGCGGCGGACGGGUGAGUAAUGCCUAGGAAUCUGCCUGGUAGUGGGGGACAACGUUUCGAAAGGAACGCUAAUACCGCAUACGUCCUACGGGAGAAAGCAGGGGACCUUCGGGCCUUGCGCUAUCAGAUGAGCCUAGGUCGGAUUAGCUAGUUGGUGGGGUAAUGGCUCACCAAGGCGACGAUCCGUAACUGGUCUGAGAGGAAGAUCAGUCACACUGGAACUGAGACACGGUCCAGACUCCUACGGGAGGCAGCAGUGGGGAAUAUUGGACAAUGGGCGAAAGCCUGAUCCAGCCAUGCCGCGUGUGUGAAGAAGGUCUUCGGAUUGUAAAGCACUUUAAGUUGGGAGGAAGGGCAGUAAGCUAAUACCUUGCUGUUUUGACGUUACCGACAGAAUAAGCACCGGCUAACUCUGUGCCAGCCGCCGCAGUAA
rnacentral:rRNA from 1 species